rnacentral:lncRNA from 1 species
GUGUGUGUGUGUGUGUGUGUGUGUGUGUGUGUGUGUCUGUGUCCCCACAAGGUUAGUUAUACAUGACUGUGUGUGUGUGUGUGUGUGUGUGUGUGUGUGUGUGUGUGUGUGUGUGUGUGUGUGUGUGUGUGUGUGUGUGUGUGUGUGUGUGUGUGUGUGUGUGUGUGUGUCCCCACAAGGUUAGUUAUACAUGACUGUGUGUGUGUGUGUGUGUGUGUGUGUGUGUGUGUGUGUGUGUGUGUGUGUGUGUGUGUGUGUGUGUGUGUGUCUGUGUCCCCACAAGGUUAGUUAUACAUGACUGUGUGUGUGUGUGUGUGUGUGUGUGUGUGUGUGUGUGUGUGUGUGUGUGUCUGUGUCCCCACAAGGUUAGUUAUACAUGACUGUGUGUGUGUGUGUGUGUGUGUGUGUGUGUGUGUCUGUGUCCCCACAAGGUUAGUUAUACAUGACUGUGUGUCUGUGUCCCCACAAGGUUAGUUAUACAU